GGGGCAGUAAUGGUUUUGACAGCAAUUUAUUGUAAGGACUGCAAGUAGUAGGCAUACUUUAAAUGCAAAACUUAAAAUUAAACGACGAAGAUGUUUCUUUCGCUUCUUUCGCUCCUGUAGCAGCCUAAUUAGUGGUAUAAAGAAGGCUUUUAUUUACUUUCUCUUAUAGGGUAUAUAAAGGUUCAUAGAUAUAAGAUAUAUAAAGUUAUUUAUCUUUAGAUAACCUUACGAAUUUAAUAAAGAUCGUAUAAGAUAUUGGUGCGUUAGAUCCGGUACUUAUACUAAAUCUAAUUCUAACUAAACUUGUAGACGUUCUUAUUAAUGGUUGUUUGGACAGGAGUUCGACUCUCCUCUGCUCCACCA
rnacentral:tmRNA from 1 species